GCGCCACCCCACGGCAGCUCCACGCCCUCGUCCACGGCGCCGGCGGUGGCAUCCGGGCUGUGGUGGUGGUGGUGGUGCGCGCCCACCCCGUCGCCGCAGAGGCACCGCGCCACGGCGCUGGCGAGCAGCCUCGCCGCGACGACGGCGGUGAACAUGACGAGCGCGGCCAAGAAGUAGUCCAGCGCCGACGGGUGGGCGUCUUGGCAGCCGCUGGAACUGAAGCUCAGGCACACCAUUGUUUGUGGCUCCAGCUGCCGCGGCAGUCGGCGAACGGAGCAGAAGGCUUGCUUGCUGGAUCACCUGGAGAUGCUGGUCUGAGGUGCACGCACAGAGGAGCUGGGAGCUCGUGGCUGCUUAUAUAUAACU
rnacentral:misc_RNA from 1 species